UUACGGCCAUAUCAUAUUGAAACACCAGUUUUCAUACAAUAACCAAAGUUAAACAACAUUGAGCCCGGUCAGUACCUAGAUGAAUGACUGCUUGGGAAUACCAGGUGCUGUAAG